rnacentral:rRNA from 1 species
UACGGAGGGUGCAAGGCGUUGUUCGGAUUUAUUGGGCGUAAAGGGCGUGUAGGCGGUUCGUUAAGUCUGAUGUGAAAGCCCCGGGCUCAACCCGGGAAGUGCAUUGGAAACUGGCGAACUUGAGUACGGGAGAGGGCAGUGGAAUUCCUAGUGUAGGAGUGAAAUCCGUAGAUAUUAGGAGGAACACCGGUGGCGAAGGCGGCUGCCUGGACCGAUACUGACGCUGAGACGCGAAAGCGUGGGGAGCAAACAGG